UACGGCUGUAUCACGUUGAAACGCCGGUUCUCGUACCAUCGCCGAAGUUAAGCAAAGUCGAGCCUGGUUAGUACCUAGAUGGGUGACUGUUUGGGAAAACCUGACGCUGUAA